GUCUGGCUGGCUCAGUUGGCAGAGCGUGAGGCUCCUGAUCUUGGGGUCGUGAGUUCGAGCCCCACACUGGGUG
rnacentral:tRNA from 1 species